AUCCAGCUGACGAGUCUCCAAUAGGACGAAACAUGCGUCCUGAAU
rfam:Schistosoma rodhaini strain Burundi genome assembly, scaffold: SROB_scaffold0000238